rnacentral:lncRNA from 1 species
AUUCUGAUGUGGACUUUUUUUCUUAGAAGUUUACAAGGAAAGGGGAAAUGUCUGAAAUGGAGAUUGCACAAUCCUGUCUUGAAGCAGAAGACUCAGCUAGAGCACAUCUGGAAACACCUGGCACUCCUCAAUAGAAUUCAAAUGCUAUUUUAAAAGGUAGUAUGGUCCUUUCUACUUCCCGUUGAUCUGGGUCAAGGAUUUGGGCAGUGCAGCCAAUGCAUUGAUGGGGAGGAGCCCAGGAUGUGGCUAGUGCUGCGGCUGUGUUGGUAACCUUAAUGGGACGGAGCAAAUCAGGGAGUACACUGAAGAUAAUGACAGGCACCAUUCUUGAGAUGUAAAAUCUGAGCUGCAACACUGAACAAAAGCUGUACUUGCCAGCCAGCAAAGAUGCUACCACUCUGCACAACAGAUAAAACCCAUACAUAUAGGGAAGUCAAAAGAGUCUUUAAGCUACAGUGUUUGAGAGGCUGUUUGUCUCUGAUGGAAAAUUAAGAAAAUGCUCAUCUUCAAUUACAAUGUGGUUCCUACAAAGUAAAGGGCUGUUGUCCUCUCUUCAGACCUGUGCUGCUUCUGCGCACUAGCCCUGUAGACCAUCAAGGCCUAAAAAUAGCUGCUAGAUUCAAUGAGACAUGAAGCUGACAGAAAUGGCAUCAAGCUAAUUGGCAACAAACUCUAUGAAACCUACUCAGGAAAUCAUAUUUUUAAGCUGAACACCAAGUGGAUUCUUGUUUGAAUAAAUAGAGUCCAUUUCUAAGAAGAUGUGGUUCGAACAUACAGAGCUACAUAAUAUGAGUAAAAUAGGACCUAACAGUAGUGUUCUCCAGCAUUGCUCUGCCUUUCCUUUUCUGGAUGUAACAACAUUACUAAGAAAGGAAGAAAAAGCAAAAAUCUGCUCUCGGGGAGAUUCCAGAAUGUUGGAAAGCCCCAAAUGGAAGUCUCUGCUUUGGUUACAGGACAUAAGGUUUAAUAAAUAAAAAGAUGCUCAUCUGGGAUGCUGCACCAAUUAUCAUGUACUAAAUAAGGUUACCUACUUCACUCUCCAGGUAGAAAUGUCUAUCAUAAGCAUGUGCCACAGAAGGUCUCUCAAGUAUCAUUAUUGGCUGUGUUGAAUUUUGUUUUUAGUUCUCUUUUAUAAGGUCUGUAGUCUUACUUUCAGUGAGGAAGUGUUUUCUCAGGUUCUCAAGAAAGUAACAAAAUGCCAGCAUUGUCAAGGUCACCAUUGCCACUGAAUUAUCUUACUGUCUGAUUAUUCCAUCUUCCUCUGCAUCAUAUUAGCCUGAUGACUACAUUCUAAUUAUUUAAAGCGUUAUGUAAAUCAAAGCAGUAAAUGUAAUUUCUAGUCUUACUAGAUAUCAUGUACAUUAGGUCGAAUAACUCUAGAAAUGUCGUCAUAAUCAUGUCAUGCCUAAUGAUGACCUACUCAGCCCCUGCCAACAUCAUUCAAUUACUCAUUUCAGUAUUGAUUUUUCUCAUGCCUCUCUUCGUGGCAUUUAAACAGCCCUCACAUCUCCCCUUUUACUGAGGUGUAAUGUUGUAUAAUGACAGAGAUGCUUUGCUUCCCAGAUUCAUAAUGUUACACUCUGUUUCAAAUCCUUUUGGAGACAAAUUGGGGAAUCAAUAUAUAAAUAAUGACACACUUAUUUUUAAUUAAAAUCACUGCUUUCACAGAAAUGGUAUAUUAAAA